GACGAACGCUGGCGGCGUGCUUAACACAUGCAAGUCGAACGGGAAGGCCCUGCUUUUGUGGGGUGCUCGAGUGGCGAACGGGUGAGUAACACGUGAGUAACCUGCCCUUGACUUUGGGAUAACUUCAGGAAACUGGGGCUAAUACCGGAUAGGAGCUCCUGCUGCAUGGUGGGGGUUGGAAAGUUUCGGCGGUUGGGGAGGGACUCGCGGCUUAUCAGCUUGUUGGUGGGGUAGUGGCUUACCAAGGCUUUGACGGGUAGCCGGCCUGAGAGGGGGACCGGCCACAUUGGGACUGGGAUACGGCCCAGACUCCUACGGGAGGCAGCAGUGGGGAAUAUUGCACAGUGGGCGGAAGCCUGAUGAAGCAACGCCGCGUGCGGGAUGACGGCCUUCGGGUUGUAAACCGCUUUCGCCUGUGACGAAGCGUGAGUGACGGUAAUGGGCAAAGAAGCACCGGCUAACUACGUGCCAGCCGCCGCCGUAACAC
rnacentral:rRNA from 1 species